rnacentral:rRNA from 1 species
CGAAGGGUGCAAGCGUUAGUCGGAAUUACUGGGCGUAAAGCGUGCGUAGGCGGUCUCUUAAGUCCGUUGUGAAAGCCCUGGGCUCAACCUGGGAACUGCAGUGGAUACUGAGAAGCUAGAGUGUGUCAGAGGAUGGUGGAAUUCCCGGUGUAGCGGUGAAAUGCGUAGAGAUCGGGAGGAACAUCAGUGGCGAAGGCGGCCAUCUGGGACAACACUGACGCUGAGGCACGAAAGCGUGGGGAGCAAACAGGAUUAGAUACCCUGGUAGUCCACGCCCUAAACGAUGCGAACUGGAUGUUGGGCUCAACUCGGAGCUCAGUGUCGAAGCUAACGCGUUAAGUUCGCCGCCUGGGGAGUACGCUCGCAAGAGUG